rnacentral:rRNA from 1 species
AUACGGAGGGGGUUAGCGUUGUUCGGAAUUACUGGGCGUAAAGCGCACGUAGGCGGAUUGGAAAGUAGGGGGUGAAAUCCCAGGGCUCAACCCUGGAACUGCCUCCUAAACUAUCAGUCUAGAGUUCGAGAGAGGUGAGUGGAAUUCCAAGUGUAGAGGUGAAAUUCGUAGAUAUUUGGAGGAACACCAGUGGCGAAGGCGGCUCACUGGCUCGAUACUGACGCUGAGGUACGAAAGUGUGGGGAGCAAACAGGAUUAGAUACCCUGGUAGUCCACACCGUAAACGAUGGACACUAGUUGUUGGAAUUAUUCAGUGACUAAGCGAAAGUGAUAAGUGUCCCACCUGGGGAGUACGAUCGCAAGAUUGAAACUCAAAGGAAUUGACGGGGGCCCGCACAAGCGGUGGAGCAUGGGGUUUAAUUCGAAGCAACGCGCAGAACCUUACCAACCCUUGACAUCCUGUGCUACACGGAGAGAUCCGUGGUUCCCUUCGGGGACGCAGUGACAGGUGCUGCAUGGC